AUUGAACGCUGGCGGCAUGCCUUACACAUGCAAGUCGAACGGCAGCACGGGUGCUUGCACCUGGUGGCGAGUGGCGAACGGGUGAGUAAUACAUCGGAACAUGUCCUGUAGUGGGGGAUAGCCCGGCGAAAGCCGGAUUAAUACCGCAUACGAACCACGGAUGAAAGCGGGGGACCUUCGGGCCUCGCGCUAUAGGGUUGGCCGAUGGCUGAUUAGCUAGUUGGUGGGGUAAAGGCCUACCAAGGCGACGAUCAGUAGCUGGUCUGAGAGGACGACCAGCCACACUGGAACUGAGACACGGCCCAGACUCCUACGGGAGGCAGCAGUGGGGAAUUUUGGACAAUGGGCGAAAGCCUGAUCCAGCAAUGCCGCGUGUGUGAAGAAGGCCUUCGGGUUGUAAAGCACUUUUGUCCGGAAAGAACUCCUUGACUCUAAUACAGUCGGGGGAUGACGGUACCGGAAGAAUAAGCACCGGCUAACUACGUG
rnacentral:rRNA from 1 species